UACGGAGGGGGCUAGCGUUGUUCGGAAUUACUGGGCGUAAAGCGCACGUAGGCGGCUUUGUAAGUUAGAGGUGAAAGCCCGGAGCUCAACUCCGGAAUUGCCUUUAAGACUGCAUCGCUCGAAUCAUGGAGAGGUGAGUGGAAUUCCGAGUGUAGAGGUGAAAUUCGUAGAUAUUCGGAAGAACACCAGUGGCAAAGGCGACUCACUGGACAUGUAUUGACGCUGAGGUGCGAAAGCGUGGGGAGCAAACAGG
rnacentral:rRNA from 1 species